rnacentral:rRNA from 1 species
CGUGGGUAACCUGCCUUAUAGUGGGGGAUAGCCUUUCGAAAGGAAGAUUAAUACCGCAUAAGAUUGUAGUAUCGCAUGAUAUAGCAAUUAAAGGAGCAAUCCGCUAUAAGAUGGACCCGCGCGCAUUAGCUAGUUGGUGAGGUGAUGGCUCACCAAGGCGACGAUGCGUAGCCGACCUGAGAGGGUGAUCGGCCACAUUGGGACUGAGACACGGCCCAGACUCCUACGGGAGGCAGCAUG